UACGUAGGCAGCAAGCGUUGUUCGGAAUUACUGGGCGUAAAGAGUGUGUAGGCGGUGCUCUAAGUUCGGUGUGAAAUCUCCCGGCUUAACUGGGAGGGUGCGCCGGAAACUGGAGUGCUUGAGCGCGGGAGAGGAAAGCGGAAUUCCUGGUGUAGCGGUGAAAUGCAUAGAUAUCAGGAGGAACACCUGUGGUGUAGACGGCUUUCUGGACCGUAGCUGACGCUGAGACACGAAAGCGUGGGUAGCAAACAGG
rnacentral:rRNA from 1 species